rnacentral:rRNA from 1 species
GGAGUUAGCCGGUGCUUCUUCUGUGAGUGAUGUCCUUCCUGCCGGCUAUUAACCCGCAGGCCUUCUUCCUCACUGAAAGUGCUUUACAACCCGAAGGCCUUCUUCACACACGCGGCAUGGCUGGAUCAGGGUUGCCCCCAUUGUCCAAUAUUCCCCACUGCUGCCUCCCGUAGGAGUCUGGGCCGUGUCUCAGUCCCAGUGUGGCUGAUCAUCCUCUCAGACCAGCUACGGAUCGUCGCCUUGGUGAGCCGUUACCUCACCAACCAGCUAAUCCGACAUAGGCUCAUCCGAUAGCGCGAGGCCCGAAGGUCCCCCGCUUUCCCCCGUAGGGCGUAUGCGGUAUUAGCCUGGGUUUCCCCACGGUUAUCCCCCACUACCGGGCAGAUUCCUAUGCAUUACUCACCCGUCCGCCGCUCGCCACCAGGGAGCAAGCUCCCCGUGCUGCCGCUCGACUUGCAUGUGUUAGGCCUGCCGCCAGCGUUCAAUCUGAGCCAGGAUCAAAACUCUGA